UUAGUUACUUUGAUGGAGCCAAUGGGCGAUCAAGAAGACCCAUGGCCCAGUCUGGUUACCUUUUUUGCAAUUUGGGUGAGUGUCCACCUAAGGGGUCCCAAAUGGUCUAGCUUACAUCAUAAUUUGUGGGAAUGAGGGCUGUCACAAAUAUUGGCAAGAAACCCAGU
rnacentral:snRNA from 1 species